GAUGAACGCUGGCGGCGUGCCUAAUACAUGCAAGUCGAGCGAACAGACGAGGAGCUUGCUCCUCUGACGUUAGCGGCGGACGGGUGAGUAACACGUGGAUAACCUACCUAUAAGACUGGGAUAACUUCGGGAAACCGGAGCUAAUACCGGAUAAUAUAUUGAACCGCAUGGUUCAAUAGUGAAAGACGGUUUUGCUGUCACUUAUAGACGGAUCCGCGCCGCAUUAGCCAGUUGGUAAGGUAACGGCUUACCAAGGCGACGAUGCGUAGCCGACCUGAGAGGGUGAUCGGCCACACUGGAACUGAGACACGGUCCAGACUCCUACGGGAGGCAGCAGUAGGGAAUCUUCCGCAAUGGGCGAAAGCCUGACGGAGCAACGCCGCGUGAGUGAUGAAGGUCUUCGGAUCGUAAAACUCUGUUAUUAGGGAAGAACAAAUGUGUAAGUAACUAUGCACGUCUUGACGGUACCUAAUCAGAAAGCCACGGCUAACUACGUG
rnacentral:rRNA from 1 species